rnacentral:lncRNA from 12 species
AAAAAUUAAAGAAAGCUAUUUCUAAUAAAGAAAAUCUUUGUUGUAGCUCGUAGGUGCCCAGCUGAGGUGGAAUGGACAUUCCUGUGUGCGGGGAAGGCUCAUGCAGAGGCCUCUCCUGACCUGAGCUGUUGCAUUUAAACUCAAUAACAAAAGUCUAUGAAGAUAAGACCUAAGAAUUAAAAUAAUUUCGAAGAUCUCCCUUUUCCUUCCUGUCAACAUGAAUUUUUCCAAAAUUACAUACUAUAAAUACAAAU